GAGAGAGAGAGAGAGAGAGAGAGAGAAGAAGAGAGAGGGAGAGAAAGGAAGAGAGAGAGAAGAAGACAGAGAGAGGAGUCGGGGAAGAAAGAGCAUUUCAGAAACACCCUGCUGUCAAAUAGAUGAAUAGCUGACAGACAAGCUAUUGUGGACUUGAACUAGCUGGUAGUAUAGUAAAGUAACUUUAACAGUAUAGUAACUGUAAUAGUAAAGUAAAUUUAACAGUAUAGUAACUGUAAUAGUAAAGUAACUUUAACAGUAUAGUAACUGUGGUAGUAAAGUAACUUUAACAGUAUAGUAACUGUAAUAGUAAAGUAACUUUAACAGUAUAGUAACUGAGGAGUAACUGUCCAGAAUGCAGAUAAUCCAUGUUAUCUCUUGCUGUCUCUCAGCUCUGUGUGUUGUGCAGCAGUCAGCUGGCAUUAAUGUGACGGGGGUCGUAAGAGGACAAAUCAAAAUCACCUGUUCUUAUUCAUGGGCAGAGGACAAUGACAAAUAUUUCUGUAAGGAAAGCUGCACCAAGAAUGAUAUUCUCAUUCAGAGCGAUGGUAAGCAAAAUUACCAAAAAAAAAGACAGAUUCUCCAUCCUGAACACAAUAAAUGGAGUUUUCACUGUGACCAUAACUAAACUGGAGAAGUCAGACUCUGGGAAAUACUGGUGUGGAGUGAAGAGAUUAUUGAAGGACACCUAUACUGAAGUUCAUCUCAAAGUUACAGACGCUCCUCCCACUUCUACAUCAUCACCUGUCACCUCCAGACCCCAUGUCUCCACAACCCUCCCAAACCUCUCUACAACAUCCUCUAACCUCUCCGCAACGUUUCUGGUAUCUGGAGAUAUCAGUGGUCACUCUUCAUCAAGAGCAGGUCUGAUGGUGUGGACCAGUGCUGGUCUGGUUGUCAUGGUGACAGUGUUAGGUCUGGUCCUGCUCCUAUUCUACAGACAGAGGAGAGGAACCAGGAGAACACCACCACCACCACCACCACCAGUCUCCUCCAACACACAACCUGACCCUACUGGAGAGGUUGACUGUGUGUAUGAGGAGAUCAGAGAGGCAGACAGACAGACAGACACACUCCCUUUGGUCAUUUCAUCAGUCUACUCUACUGUCAAUUCACCUACAACCUACCCUGCUGACCAAGCCUCUACAACCUACCCUGCUGACCAAGCCUCUACAACCUACCCUGCUGACCAAGCAUCUACAACCUACCCUGCUGGCCAAGCCUCUACAACCUACCCUGCUGGCCAAGCCUCUACAACCUACCCUACUGGCCAAGCCUCUACAACAUACUCUACUGUCAAUUCACCUACAACCUACCCUGCUGACCAAGCGGCAGGGUAGCCUAGUGGUUAGAGCAUUGGACUAGUAACCGAAAGGUUGCAAGUUCAAAUCCCCGAGCUGACAAGGUACAAAACCUGUCGUUCUGCCCUUGAACAGGCAGUUAACCCACUGUUCCUAGGCCGUCAUUGAAAAUAAGAAUUUGUUCUUAACUGACUUGCCUAGUAAAAUAAAGGUAAAAUUUAAAUUAAAAAAGCCUCUACAACCUACCCUGCUGGCCAAGCCUCUACAACCUACCCUGCUGGCCAAGCCUCUACAACCUGCCCUGCUGCCAAGCCUCUACAACCUGCCCUGCUGCCAAACCUCUACAACCUACCCUGCUGGCAAAGCUAUCGGUGUCCCACACUGUGACCUCUAUGCUAACGCUAGCUGCCA